UCCUCAAUUUGAUUAUUUGAGGUAGGGCCUGCUCAAUGCGAAAGUAAAUAGCCGCAGUACUCUGACUGUGCGAAGGUAGCAUAAUAAAUUGGCUUUUAAUUGGAGUCUGGGAUGAAUGGUUUGACAAGGAUUUGACUGUCUUAGAAUAAUAAUUUUUGAAAUUAAAUUAUCUGUAAAAAUGCAGAUGUGAGAGAGAGGGACGAGAAGACCCUAUAGAUCUUUAAUGGAUUGUCAAAUUAAUUUCAUUUGAUGGUUCUUUUUAUUUGGGGAAAAUCCUGAAAAUUUGAAAAAACUUCGGUUAAUUAAAAAAUUUUAAUGAUUAAUUUUCGAUCCAUUAAAUAAUUUUGGUGAAAAGAUGAAAAAGUUACCUUAGGGAUAACAGGACAAUGAUUUUUUUAGAGACCUUAUCUAAAAGGACGUUUGUUACCUCGAUGUUGAAUUAAGUUAUCUUGCUAAAGAAGAAAUUUUUAUAGUUGGUCUGUUCGACCAUUGAAAAC
rnacentral:rRNA from 1 species